UGUCUACGCAGGUGUUUGUCCAAGCAAUAUUAUAUAACUAAGAAUGCUUCUUAUUUUAUUCUAUUUUAUUUAUUCUACUCUUAUUUAGUGGAAUUAUUCUUUUUCCUUCUCAGCCCUGUGCCUCAUGGUAUGGAGGACAGAACACCUACUCUUCCCUGCUGCCCUACACGGUUGAAAAUGAAGAUGAUGACUCUGUGUGUGUGUGUGUGUGUGUGUGUGUUGUGGAGAGGGAUAUUUGUCUUCAGGCCACUGUGGCUCACUGAUAAAGUGUCAUCAGCUAAAUUUUCAAGUAUCCUUCCUAUUUUCAGAGUGAAGACAAUGAUCUCAGCAUGGUGCCCUAACUCUGCUCCCAAAGUCUCCUUAGAAGUGAGCCCAGAGAUGAUACCAAAGCAGAGAUUUCUUCUGACCUGGCGCAUGUAAACAUAGGAUUUCCUUCCACCUUUCCUAACUACACAGUCUCUGGCUUGUGCCAUUUAGUAGUUUGCAAUAUGAGCCUCGAGAUAAGAAGUUUCAAGAAGACAAGCUGACCUGGCUGCCUCCAUAAGUGAGAGCUGGCCUUAGACCCAUGACUGUUCCAGCAGCCCAAGGGAAGAAGAGCAGGAAAGAACUACUCUGAUUUUCUGAUUCUCCACCUCUCGUUAUGCAUGGCUACCUUGACCAAGAUAGUUCACCAAGAUAAACUACACAACGGAUGAUGCUAUACGAUGCUACAGCAGACAAUGGGAUGCCAAUAUGCGUAUAACACAAAUCCAACUUUAUAUGAGGGAUCCCCAUUUCCACAGAGAAGCUAAACAAACAAAAACCUGAUCGCCUCUUUUUCAUUUUUAACAUACAUUUUAAAGUGCUACCAAAUGUAGUAAAUAUGUCAGAGAAAUGAGUUUUAAAAUAUCUUCUUCCCGAUUUCAAGGAAGACUUUUUUGAAAAUUUCAUAAGGUUCUCUGGCCUGCUAUGCUUUCUAUGUUGACUGAUUUUUCUAUGAUCCCAUAAACCUUCAGUUGACAUGUGAACCAUAGUCUCAAAUUCAUCAACACAGUCACUGGGGAAGCUGGCCAAGUGUCUUUUGUGGCUGGAGUCUCUGUCACACAUCAUCGUGCUGCCUUUUGUUAAAUGGAGAAAUGCGUCUCAUAGAAAAUGCUUCAAUGCCACACAGAAUAGUAGAAAAAACUACAUUUAUAAAUACUCAGGUGUCUCAUGUUUCCUUUAAGAUUGUUUAAAAUCAUUUUUGUUUGUUACUUUAAUAUAUUUUUUAAGUACAAGCUCAAAUACCAUCAUUACCUUUGCAAGUGUCAUAAUUUUUCCUUAAUGACAGCUUAAUCAAGUUUUAAAUUAUCCUCUAAACCUACACUCUUCCUUCUUUCCUCAAAAGGUAGAAACAAAGCUAAUUUUCUGAAAUGUUUGAGCAAGAUAGAAACAUAAAAAA
rnacentral:lncRNA from 1 species